UACGAAGGGAGCGAGCGUUGUUCGGAAUUACUGGGCGUAAAGGGCUUGUAGGUGGCCAACUAAGUCCGACGUGAAAUCCCUAGGCUUAACCUAGGAACUGCGCCGGAUACUGGAUGGCUUGAAUCCGGGAGAGGGAUGCGGAAUUCCAGGUGUAGCGGUGAAAUGCGUAGAUAUCUGGAGGAACACCGGUGGCGAAGGCGGCAUCCUGGACCGGUAUUGACACUGAGGAGCGAAAGCGUGGGGAGCGAACAGG
rnacentral:rRNA from 1 species